GCCUGGGUGGCUCAGUGUUGAGCACCUGCCUUCGGUGCAGGGCGUGAUCCUGGAGUCUUGGGAUCGAGUCCUACAUCAGGCU
rnacentral:tRNA from 1 species